UUCCGUAUUAGUCAUUUACAGGUAUUUUUCUGUAUUUCUCAACUACUGCAAUGCAUUGUGGGAAAAAGGACCCAAAAAAGGAGGGAAAAGUCAGAGCAAGAGCAGCCAUUAGACUUCUUUCAGGCUUCAUCUGGAUUUUGGACUCUGGAGUUGGAGAAACUGCCUUCAAAUUUCCGUGUGCAGAGCAAUGGCCAAGCAAAGGAAAGACUUCCCCGAGUGAAAAAGAAGAUGAAGAUACAAGCUGGUGAUAAUCCAGAGCAGCUGGUCUCAGGAAAUGAAGAAAAACCCUGAUCACCUUUUCCACAGAAACAAG